rnacentral:lncRNA from 1 species
GGCCUGGCUAGCCUGGAACUCACUAUGUAGAGCAGGCUGACCCUUGAACUCACAGAGAUAUACCGGACCGGCUUCUACCUCCUGAGUGCUGGGAUGAAAGCACCCCUUACCUUAAGACCGCUCCCCGGGCAUGUCUUCUGCAUGGCCCCGAGGAUUGUGCGCCCCAUCGCCAUCUCUUCACUUCUACUGAUUUCAGACUUGGAAGAGCGCAGGAGUCUGGUCGGCCUGCCUCCACCCUCCUCACAGCUUCCAGACAGAGAUGCAGCACGGAGUCCUUUGCCCCUUGCCCCAUUAGCCUAGAGAACAGAAAAGGUCUGUGUUUCAUGUCUCCGUGCACAUAACAUUGCCUGCCAUUUGUAUAUAGAAAUUCAGUGGAUUUUUAAAAUAUAGAAACUUUUAUGGGGUACAAGUGUUUUGCCAGCACAUAGGCCUGUGAACCCCAUGCAUACGAUCCGAUCCCCAAGAACUGGAGUUAUGAAAGCUUGUUAGUCGCCGUGUGAGUGCUGAGAACCGAACUGUGUUCUCUGGAAGAGGAGCCUGUGCUCUUAAUCUCUG